AACUCUUAGCGGUGGAUCACUCGCUCGUGCGUCGAUGAAGAACGCAGCUAGCUGCAGAGAUUAAUGUGAAUUGCAGACACAUUGAUCAUCGACACCUAUCGAACGCACUUGCGGCCCCGGGUUCCUCCCGGGCUACGCCUGCCUGAGCCGUC
rnacentral:rRNA from 1 species